UCAGAGAGGCCGCGGCUUCCGCUCGGAACAGAAAAGUGAAAAACCGAAAACCCUUAUGCGGCGACGUACUCGAUGGCUUCUUCCAAAAAUUCGAAGACCGAACAGAAAAGCGAAGCAGCAAGCAGCUUCAAAACAGCGAAGAAAGCCGCUAAGCCCAGAAAGGAGAAGAACUUGAACAAGAAAAACAAGAGCAAUAAGAACAAACUUGGCAAUUCUAAUGUGAAAGAGGAAGACAGAGAGAUCGUUGUUCCUUCUUCCAGCACCGGGUCCCGUGAAAAAGCCCAAGAAGAAGGGCGUCAGGAUGACAAGACUGAGAUCACAAAUGGGCGAACCAGUGCAACGAAACCCAAAAAAGACAGAGUCAAAGGAAUCAAGCACGACGACGAAGAUGAAGCUGAAGGUAAAGGAGACGCUAAAGGCAACGUGUUUCCCAUGAAUCGUAUUCGAACGAUUAUUAGGGGCCAAGAUCUUGAUUUGCGUAUUUCCCAGGAAGCUAUAUUUGUCAUCAACAGAGCCACAGAGAUGUUACUUGAACAAUUUACGCGAGACACUUAUGCUACCUGUGUUCGGGAUCGAAAGAAAUCUCUUGCUUAUAAACACCUAUCAAUUAAACGCCAUCUUCUUUCCAUCUGUUGCCUGCAUUCUAUCUGGACAUCUUCAACAGAACCAAUUUCACACUAUGUAUUCAUCGCCAUCCUCUGGUUCCAGAAAGCAGAAAAUUGAAGCCGAUUUAGACUAGGUCUUAACGGUAUGAUGUUUUAGUAAAAUCAUCCAACUUCAUCUAUUUGAAGAAACAUCUGCUCUUCUUCUGGACUACUUUGUCCCUUGAAGCUGUAACAGUGAUUGCCAACUCUUGAUGAGGGGAAUAUUGACAGCAUUUUUUAUGGGAGAAAAUCAAAAUGAAAAGAAAAGAGGAUAACAAGGUUCAAGAGAGAAGAGCAUCUGUUGUUAGUAAGCAGAGCAGAUACGACUUUCUAUCUGAUUUUGUUCCAGAGAAAAUAAAAGCGGAGGAUGCAUUAAGGGAGAGGAAUUCUGGUGUGAAUGUUGGUUAGAAAUAGUGGAGCAUGUAAAUGAAGAAUCCAAGCUUGUAAUUUAUCCUAUCUUCUCACGUUCUGUAUCAUGGUGUGGAUGCAUUAAUUAUUUAAUACACCUUUGUUUAGUGGAUACAUCUCUCAGUGCUUACAUCUCUUUCAAAGUCCCAGGGGCUUCCUUUUUUUUCCCCCGGUAUUCUUUUUUCAGUGACUACGUCGUGUACAUGUGUAUCAUGUGAUGGGCGGUUUGGAUGUAUAUUUCAUUGAAGGUCAAGUCUAUUCA